UUUUAGCAGGGAAGAAGCGAAAGUGACGGUACCUGCAGAAAAAGCGCCGGCUAACUACGUGCCAGCAGCCGCGGUAAUACGUAGGGCGCAAGCGUUAUCCGGAAUUAUUGGGCGUAAAGAGCUCGUAGGCGGUUUGUCGCGUCUGCUGUGAAAUCCGGAGGCUCAACCUCCGGCCUGCAGUGGGUACGGGCAGACUAGAGUGCGGUAGGGGAGAUUGGAAUUCCUGGUGUAGCGGUGGAAUGCGCAGAUAUCAGGAGGAACACCGAUGGCGAAGGCAGAUCUCUGGGCCGUAACUGACGCUGAGGAGCGAAAGGGUGGGGAGCAAACAGGCUUAGAUACCCUGGUAGUCCACCCCGUAAACGUUGGGAACUAGUUGUGGGGUCCAUUCCACGGAUUCCGUGACGCAGCUAACGCAUUAAGUUCCCCGCCUGGGGAGUACGGCCGCAAGGCUAAAACUCAAAGGAAUUGACGGGGACCCGCACAAGCGGCGGAGCAUGCGGAUUAAUUCGAUGCAACGCGAAGAACCUUACCAAGGCUUGACAUAUACGAGAACGGGCCAGAAAUGGUCAACUCUUUGGACACUCGUAAACAGGUGGUGCAUGGUUGUCGUCAGCUCGUGUCGUGAGAUGUUGGGUUAAGUCCCGCAACGAGCGCAACCCUCGUUCUAUGUUGCCAGCACGUAAUGGUGGGAACUCAUGGGAUACUGCCGGGGUCAACUCGGAGGAAGGUGGGGAUGACGU
rnacentral:rRNA from 1 species